CCUACGGGAGGCAGCAGUGAGGAAUAUUGGUCAAUGGGCGAGAGCCUGAACCAGCCAAGUCGCGUGAAGGAUGAAGGAUCUAUGGUUUGUAAACUUCUUUUAUAUGGGAAUAAAGUGAGGAACGUGUUCCUUUUUGUAUGUACCAUAUGAAUAAGCAUCGGCUAACUCCGUGCCAGCAGCCGCGGUAAUACGGAGGAUGCGAGCGUUAUCCGGAUUUAUUGGGUUUAAAGGGUGCGUAGGUGGUUAAUUAAGUCAGCGGUGAAAGUUUGGUGCUCAACCAUAAAAUUGCCGUUGAAACUGGUUGACUUGAGUAUAUUUGAGGUAGGCGGAAUGCGUGGUGUAGCGGUGAAAUGCAUAGAUAUCACGCAGAACUCCGAUUGCGAAGGCGGCUUACUAGACUAUAACUGACACUGAAGCACGAAAGCGUGGGGAUCGAACAGGAUUAGAUACCCUAGUAGUC
rnacentral:rRNA from 1 species